GAUGAACGCUGGCGGCGUGCCUAAUACAUGCAAGUCGAGCGAACAGACGAGGCUCUUGCUCCUCUGACGUUAGCGGCGGACGGGUGAGUAACACGUGUAUACCCUACCUAUAAGACUGGGAUCACUUCGGGAAACCGGAUCUAAUACCGGAUAAUAUAUUGAACCGCGUGGUUCAAUAGAGAAAGACGGUUUUGCUGUCACUAAUAGCUGUUUCCGGGCCGCAUGAGCUAGUUGGUAGGGUAACGGCUUACCAAGGCAACGAUGCGUAGCCGACCUGAGAGGGGGAUCGGCCACACUGGAACUGAGACACGGUCCAGAGUCCUACGGGAGGCAGCAGUAGGGAAUCGUGCGCAAUGGGGGAAAGCUUGAAGGAGCAACGCCGGGUGGGUGAAGAAGGUCUUCGGAUCGUAAAACUCUGUUAUUAGGGAAGAACGAAUGUGUAAGUAACUAUGCACGUCUUGACGGUACCUAAAAAGAAAGCCACGGCUAACUCCGUG
rnacentral:rRNA from 1 species